GGAGAAAAAGAACCGUGAGAGAGGAAGAGCAAAGAGAAUGGUUUUGCUGCACUUUGAGGAAGGAAAAAAAGAGUUUUUGCUGCAAUUUUGAGAGGAAGAAGAAAGCUAAAAAUUUUGAGCUGGAAAUUUUGGAGGUUUUGCUGCCAUUAAAGGGUAGCAAAGUGCUACCAAUUUGUGUAGAAAAAUUAAAGCUAUUUGUUGCCAAUUUGUGCAGAAAAAUUGGAGCUGUUUGCUGCAGAAAAAUUGGAGUUGUUUGUGCAGAAAAAUUGGAGCUGUUUGCUGCAGAAAAAUUGGAGCUAUUUGUAUAGAAAAAUUGGAGUUGUUUGCUGCAAAAAAAUUGGAGCUGUUUGUGCAGAAAAAUUGGAGCUAUUUGCUGCCAAUUUGUGCAGAAAAAUUGGACAACAUUGUGCUGCCAAUUUGAGGGAGAAAAGCAACUUGGUGUUGCCAAAUUUUUUAGGAAAAGAGAGCUGAAAGUGCUGCCACCGGAGGAGGAAGAAAACGACCCAAGGAAGAGAGGAAGCCACGGUGGUGAAGAGAG